rnacentral:snRNA from 1 species
UUGCUUCAACAGCAUAUAUACAAAAAUUGGAAAAAGUACAGAGAUUUUCAUAGCCCCUGUACAAGGGUGACAUUCAGCUUAAGAUUAGCAAAGCAUUCAA